rfam:Streptococcus sp. DD11 genomic scaffold scaffold00002, whole genome shotgun sequence.
CUCAAGGGAGUAGCUAACGGUAACACCGUUACAAGGUCGUCAAUACGAAAGAAAUUUCCGGCCUUGUAUGAAAUAGCGAGACUUGUUAAUCAACAGGUCUCUUUUU